AUGAACGCUAGCUACAGGCUUAACACAUGCAAGUCGAGGGGCAGCAUGGUCUUAGCUUGCUAAGGCCGAUGGCGACCGGCGCACGGGUGAGUAACGCGUAUCCAACCUGCCUUACACUCUUGGACAGCCUUCUGAAAGGGAGAUUAAUACAAGAUGUUAUCAUGAGUAAGCAUUUUCGCAUGAUUAAAGGUUUACCGGUGUAAGAUGGGGAUGCGUUCCAUUAGAUAGUAGGCGGGGUAACGGCCCACCUAGUCUUCGAUGGAUAGGGGUUCUGAGAGGAAGGUCCCCCACAUUGGAACUGAGACACGGUCCAAACUCCUACGGGAGGCAGCAGUGAGGAAUAUUGGUCAAUGGACGAGAGUCUGAACCAGCCAAGUAGCGUGAAGGAUGAAGGUUUUAUGGAUUGUAAACUUCUUUUAUACGGGAAUAAACGAAUCCACGCGUGGAUUUUUGCAUGUACCGUAUGAAUAAGGAUCGGCUAACUCCGUGCCAGCAGCCGCGGUAAUACGGAGGAUCCGAGCGUUAUCCGGAUUUAUUGGGUUUAAAGGGAGCGUAGAUGGGUUGUUAAGUCAGUUGUGAAAGUUUGCGGCUCAACCGUAAAAUUGCAAUUGAUACUGGCAGUCUUGAGUACAGUUGAGGUAGGCGGAAUUCGUGGUGUAGCGGUGAAAUGCUUAGAUAUCACGAAGAACUCCGAUUGCGAAGGCAGCUUACUAACCUGUAACUGACAUUGAUGCUCGAAAGUGUGGGUAUCAAACAGGAUUAGAUACCCUGGUAGUCCACACGGUAAACGAUGAAUACUCGCUGUAGGCGAUAUACAGUCUGCGGCCAAGCGAAAGCAUUAAGUAUUCCACCUGGGGAGUACGCCGGCAACGGUGAAACUCAAAGGAAUUGACGGGGGCCCGCACAAGCGGAGGAACAUGUGGUUUAAUUCGAUGAUACGCGAGGAACCUUACCCGGGCUUAAAUUGCAACCGAAUAUGGCGGAAACGCUAUAGCUAGCAAUAGCGGUUGUGAAGGUGCUGCAUGGUUGUCGUCAGCUCGUGCCGUGAGGUGUCGGCUUAAGUGCCAUAACGAGCGCAACCCUUGCCGAUAGUUACUAACAGGUUAUGCUGAGGACUCUGUCGGGACUGCCAUCGUAAGAUGUGAGGAAGGUGGGGAUGACGUCAAAUCAGCACGGCCCUUACGUCCGGGGCUACACACGUGUUACAAUGGGGGGUACAGAGGGCUGCUACCACGCAAGUGGAUGCCAAUCCCAAAAACCUCUCUCAGUUCGGAUUGAAGUCUGCAACCCGACUUCAUGAAGCUGGAUUCGCUAGUAAUCGCGCAUCAGCCACGGCGCGGUGAAUACGUUCCCGGGCCUUGUACACACCGCCCGUCAAGCCAUGGGAGCCGGGGGUACCUGAAGUGCGUAACCGCAAGGAGCGCCCUAGGGUAAAACUGGUGACUGGGGCU
rnacentral:rRNA from 1 species